rnacentral:tRNA from 1 species
ACCUGGGUGGCUCAGUGGUUGAGCAUCUGGCUUGGGCUCAGGUCAUGAUCACCACAGUGUCCUGGGAUCCAGUCCCACCUCAGGUC